CAAAUCAAGCAUAAACCAAACAAUCAAAACCCUAUAUAGAUUCAAGGCCAGUUUAUGAAGAUUAAACCACAAAAACUCUACAGAUUCAAAAUCUAACCAGAUCUCCUCGUUAGAAGCACAGAUCAAAAGCACCUCUCCAUUAAACUUAGAGUGAUACAGUUUGUCCCUGAAGCCGAGGUGCGGAUCUGAGUAAAAGAGACCUAUGGAUAUAUCAAGAUCUGAGAUCUGGGGAAAAAGGAGACUGAGGGUUAGCUUGAUUAGAGGGAUUAGCUCUGAUACUUUGGCCUGUGAUUUCCUUUUUUUGGUUUCAAAUGGCCACAAAAAUGAGACCUGAGAAAGAGUGAGGCAGAAUCCACGGAUCUGAAAUGAC
rnacentral:misc_RNA from 1 species